UAGGGAGAGUGGACAAUCGCUGCCUAGGGAUUUUUGCCCUGGGGGGAGGAAAGUCCGGACUUCAAAAAAAAAUUUGCAUUGCCCCUGCAAUGUUCAAAGAGCAUGCCAGUGAAAUACUGGGGGCCGUAAGGCUACGGAAAGUGCAACAGAAAAUACUCCGUCAUUCAUGGCCCUUGUGAAUGAACAGGCUGAAAAUGUCAUAUUCAGGAUAUGACCACACCUAUAGUAAUGUAGGGUGCUGUAAACCCCAUGCGAAGCAAGGCGUGAACGCCGCUAAAGACCUGUAGCGAUACUGGUCGUAGAUGAAUGAUUGUCCUCGACAGAAUCCGGCUUACAGCUCUCCCUAAACU
rnacentral:RNase_P_RNA from 1 species